CCUACGGGUGGCAGCAGUGAGGAAUAUUGGUCAAUGGGCGCGAGCCUGAACCAGCCAAGUCGCGUGAGGGAAGACGGUCCUAUGGAUUGUAAACCUCUUUUGUCGGGGAGCAAAAGACGCCACGCGUGGCGUUCCGAGAGUACCCGAAGAAAAAGCAUCGGCUAACUCCGUGCCAGCAGCCGCGGUAAUACGGAGGAUGCGAGCGUUAUCCGGAUUUAUUGGGUUUAAAGGGUGCGCAGGCGGAAGAUCAAGUCAGCGGUAAAAUUGAGAGGCUCAACCUCUUCGAGCCGUUGAAACUGGUUGUCUUGAGUGGGCGAGAAGUAUGCGGAAUGCGUGGUGUAGCGGUGAAAUGCAUAGAUAUCACGCAGAACGCCGAUUGCGAAGGCAGCAUACCGGCGCCCAACUGACGCUGAGGCACGAAAGCGUGGGGAUCGAACAGGAUUAGAUACCCCAGUAGUC
rnacentral:rRNA from 1 species